rnacentral:rRNA from 1 species
ACUCCUACGGCANUNNANCNGUGGGGAAUCUUAGACAAUGGGGGCAACCCUGAUCUAGCCAUGCCGCGUGAGUGAUGAAGGCCCUAGGGUUGUAAAGCUCUUUCAGCUGGGAAGAUAAUGACGGUACCAGCAGAAGAAGCCCCGGCUAACUCCGUGCCAGCAGCCGCGGUAAU